GAGUAGAUAUAUUAGACAAGAUAACUCGAGUGUAAUGCAAGUGAGUUUCGUUUUUGCAUACAUUAAGUUUAAAGACUGUGUUUUUGAAUUUAAAUGAGGGUGCUAACGAGUGUCGUAUGCAUUUGCUGGCAGCUGCAACAGUUAUGUAAAAUUCUAAAUCGUGCACAUGUUUGCUGGUGGGUAGAGAGUGGCAGCCUUUGCUCUGGCAAGAAUGAAAGGAGAAAAGUAUCUUCAAUAAAUGAAGUGGGGAGACGCUUUAAACGAGACUAAACUUGUUUCGGGG